UACGGAGGGGGCGAGCGUUAUUCGGAAUUAUUGGGCGUAAAGGGCGCGUAGGCGGCUAGGUAAGUCAAAGGUGAAAUCCCUCGGCUCAACUGAGGAACUGCCUUUGAAACUGUCUAGCUCGAGGCCGGGAGGGGGUGGCGGAAUUCCCAGUGUAGCGGUGAAAUGCGUAGAGAUCGGGAGGAACACCCGUGGCGAAGGCGGCCAUCUGGACCAGCACUGACGCUGAGGCACGAAAGCGUGGGGAGCAAACAGG
rnacentral:rRNA from 1 species